UUCCUUGAGGAGUGGCUUCCGGAGCUAACGCGUUAAGUCGACCGCCUGGGGAGUACGGCCGCAAGGUUAAAACUCAAAUGAAUUGACGGGGGCCCGCACAAGCGGUGGAGCAUGUGGUUUAAUUCGAUGCAACGCGAAGAACCUUACCUACUCUUGACAUCCACGGAAUUUGGCAGAGAUGCCUUGGUGCCUUCGGGAACCSUGAGACAGGUGCUGCAUGGCUGUCGUCAGCUCGUGUUGUGAAAUGUUGGGUUAAGUCCCGCAACGAGCGCAACCCUUAUCCUUUGUUGCCAGCGAUUCGGUCGGGAACUCAAAGGAGACUGCCGGUGAUAAACCGGAGGAAGGUGGGGAUGACGUCAAGUCAUCAUGGCCCUUACGAGUAGGGCUACACACGUGCUACAAUGGCGCAUACAAAGAGAAGCGACCUCGCGAGAGCAAGCGGACCUCACAAAGUGCGUCGUAGUCCGGAUCGGAGUCUGCAACUCGACUCCGUGAAGUCGGAAUCGCUAGUAAUCGUGGAUCAGAAUGCCACGGUGAAUACGUUCCCGGGCCUUGUACACACCGCCCGUCACACCAUGGGAGUGGGUUGCAAAAGAAGUAGGUAGCUUAACCUUCGGGAGGGCGCUUACCACUUUGUGAUUCAUGACUGGGGUGAA
rnacentral:rRNA from 1 species